rnacentral:rRNA from 1 species
UUCACCAUACAACAUUCCAAAAGUCCGCAACAUCAUCGAACUGAUCUAUGCCCCCGAGAUUGGCACCUGAUCUAAUCGUUUCUGAAGUUCAUGCGGAGAUUACAAUAGCCGC